AUAGAAGUUUUAUAUUGUUAUUGCAUCUGUUUGUUAUUACGAUAAUAUAAUAUUCAUGACAGUUACACUUUGUGAUAAAAUUUUAAUUGUUGCCAACAGAACACAGACAUGUUGGGUCGACGAAUUUCAAUUUGUUAAGCAGCAGAAGCCAUACAAUAUUUACAUUGACUAUAGAGAGCAGUGCAUUUGGUGAAAGCAGUGAAGGAGAAGCUGUAAACCUGUCUCAACUGAACCUCAUCGAUCUGGCAGGUUCCGAGAGCUCAAAAGCUGAAACUACUGGUAUAAGGCGAAAAGAGGGAUCAUAUAUUAAUAAAAGCCUGCUAACUCUUGGAACAGUGAGGCUUCUCAUACAUUA